GAUCUUUGAAUUUAAAGGAACCAGUCACAGACGAUCCUUCAUCUAGCAACUUCUUCUCAGACCUCAGAAGGAAAAAAACCUACCUUUCCAGUUCAUGAAACUUCUAAAUAUCUUAUUCUGGAUGAAUAGACUGAUAAGAAGCUUCCCCUUAAUGCGGGUUAUCCCGCUUAUACCCUUUUCAUACCUCAGAUGCCACUAACUAGGAUUCUGCAAUUAAAGUAGAUACAGUUGUAGUUAGACUGGCAAAGCUUACUUUUUUUUUUUUUUUUUUACCAGGCAUUAAUGCUGGUUCCUUGAGAAAUCCAAUGGACCACAGAAUGGACUUAAACCUGACCAAGGCCCAUGUGGCAGCUGGUACCAGGCUUCACCCUGCCAUAGCCCUUUAUUAUUUUCUCAGGCUUUCAAAUUAUGGAUUGAGGAUAU